rnacentral:rRNA from 1 species
AUGGCUUGUGCAUUAGUGUUAGCCAUCCUUGUCUCAUCGGUUUUGCAUCCUUUGUCUCUGACAACAUUAGCUGAUGAAUCCGACAACAACCGAGACGCUCUGCUCUGCCUCAAGUCUCGCCUCUCCAUCACCACAUGGAACACCACCUCGCCUGAUUUCUGCACUUGGCGCGGCGUCUCAUGCACAGGGCAGCCACAACUACCCCUGGUGGUGGCCUUGGACAUGGAGGCACAAGGCCUCACCGGCGAAAUCUCGCUCUGCAUGUCCAACCUCACGUCGCUGGUGAGAAUCCACUUGCCGAACAACCAGCUCUCUGGCCAUCUCCCACCAGAGAUUGGCCGGCUCUCUGGACUCCGGUACCUCAACCUCAGCUCCAACGCGCUCAGCGGCGAGAUCCCGGAAUCACUGUCCUUAUGCUCUAGCCUUGAUGUCUUGGCGCUGAGCAGCAACUCUGUUGGAGGUGCGAUCCCACCUCUACUCGGUACGCUUCGCAACCUAUCCUCUCUAGACUUGUCCAGCAAUAAACUUUCUGGUGAGAUUCCACCUCUACUCGGGAGCUCACCGGCUCUGGAGUCUGUCAGUCUCGCCAACAACUUUCUCGAGGGAGAAAUCCCGCUGUUUUUGGCAAAUUGUUCCUCCCUUCGCUACCUUUCUUUACAAAACAACAGUCUUUCUGGGGCCAUACCGGCAGCUCUUUUCAACAGCUCAACCAUCACAGAGAUACAUGUUUCAAUGAACAAUCUUUCUGGACAAAUUCCACCUUUCACAAACUUCCCUUCAAAGCUCAACUACCUCCAUUUAACAGGGAAUAGCCUAACUGGAAUUGUGCCGCCCUCAGUAGGAAAUCUCACACGGCUUACAGGUCUGUUAAUUGCGCAAAACCAGUUGCAGGGAAACAUUCCGGAUUUAUCCAAGCUAUCAGGCCUGCAAUUCCUUGACCUCUCAUACAACAAUCUAUCAGGGAUAGUGCCACCGUCCAUUUACAGUUUACCUUUGCUGAGCUUUCUUGGGUUGGCCAACAAUAAUCUUCGAGGAACACUUCCUUCUGAUAUGGGAAACACUCUUUCUAACAUAAAUUCAUUGAUUAUGUCUAAUAAUCAUUUUGAGGGUGACAUCCCUGCAUCGCUAGCCAAUGCCUCCAGAAUGGAGUUCCUAUAUCUCGGAAACAAUUUGCUGAGUGGGGUGGUUCCUUCCUUCAGUUCCCUGACGAAUUUGCAGGUCCUAAUGCUGUACUCAAAUCAGCUAGAAGCUGGAGACUGGACAUUCUUCUCGUCCUUGGCAAACUGUACACAGCUGCUAAAGGUGAACUUGGGCGGAAACAAACUACGUGGCAAUUUGCCGCCUGGUUCUGUAGCAACCCUGCCCAAAAGUAUGGUUAACUUGAUUUUACGGUCAAACUACAUAUCUGGCACUAUUCCUUUGGAGAUUGGGAACCUGUCUAAAACUUCCCUACUUUAUCUUGAUAACAAUAUUUUCACAGGGCCUAUACCUUCUAUUCUUGGCCAGCUAAGCAAACUGGUUGUUCUUAGCCUAUCACGGAACAAGUUCUCCGGAGAAAUUCCACCUUCCAUUGGUAACUUGAAUCAGUUGACGGAACUUUAUUUACAAGAAAAUGAAUUAAGUGGAAGCAUACCUACAAGUUUAGCUGGCUGCCAGAAAUUGGUGGCACUAAACCUUUCCAGCAAUGGCCUCAACGGAAGUAUCAAUGGGCGCGUGUUUAGCAAGUUGAACCAACUGAGUUGGUUACUUGACCUAUCACAUAACCAGUUCACAGAGUCCAUACCUCUGGAAAUUGGUAGCUUGAUAAACCUUGGCUCCUUGAACCUUUCGCACAACAAACUCAGAGGCAAAAUCCCAUCCGCACUUGGUGCAUGUAUCCGGUUGGAAGCACUGAACUUAGACAGGAACCUCCUAGAAGGAAGCAUUCCAGAGUCAUUGACAAACCUCAAGGGUGUCAAAGUAUUAGAUUUCUCCCAAAACAAUUUAUCCGGCACAAUACCAGAAUUCCUUGAGACGUUUACUUCGCUGCAAUACCUAAAUAUGUCCUUCAAUAACUUUGAGGGGCCAGUUCCGAUAGGUGGAGCCUUUGCUAACACAAGUAGUGUUUUUGUCCAAGGAAAUGCACUUCUUUGUUCAAAUGUUCAAGUCAACGAUUUGCCCAGGUGCUCCACCUCGGCAUCUCAGAGAAAGCGCAAGUUCAUUGUUCCAUUGUUGGCAGCUCUGUCAGCUGUUGUUGCAUUGGCCUUGAUCUUAGGGCUGGUUUUCCUGGUUUUCCAUAUUUUGAGAAAGAACAAGAGGCGGAGAUCAAGUCAGUCCAUUGACCACACAUAUACGGAGUUUAAAAGAUUAACAUAUAAUGAUGUAAGCAAAGCAACGAAUGGCUUUUCUCCGAACAAUAUACUUGGUUCUGGGCAAUUCGGGAUAGUGUAUAAAGGUCAGUUGGACGGAAAAGACAGCUUGGUGGCUGUUAAAGUGUUCAAACUUAAUCAGUAUGGUGCAUUGGAUAGCUUUAUUGCUGAGUGCAAAGCUUUGCGGAACAUCCGGCACCGAAAUCUCGUGAGUGUCAUAACUGCAUGCUCAACUUACGAUCUGAUGGGGAAUGAGUUCAAAGCUCUCGUAUUUGCAUAUAUGGCAAAUGGUAGCCUUGAAAAUCGACUUCAUGCUAAGAUCCAGAAGAAUGCUGAUUUGAGUUUGGGGACAGUGAUAUGCAUAGCAGUUGACAUUGCGUCUGCUCUGGAAUACCUUCAUAACCAAUGCAUCCCACCAGUGGUUCACUGUGAUUUGAAGCCAAGCAACAUACUCUUUGAUGAUGACGAUAAUGCGUAUGUCUGUGAUUUUGGGCUAGCAAGGUUAAUUCAUGGUUAUUCAUCUGAAGCUCAGAGCAACUCAACAAGCAUAUCUGGACCAAGGGGAACUAUUGGAUACAUUGCUCCUGAGUAUGGCAUGGGCAGUCAAAUCUCAACCGACGGCGACGUCUACAGUUACGGCAUCAUACUUUUAGAAAUGCUAACGGGGAAAAGACCUACUGAUGAAGCCUUCAGUAAUGGCCUUACACUCCAGAAGUAUGUGGAUGCAUCACUUUCAGAGAUUGAACACAUUCUUCACCCCAGCCUUAUGCCAAAAACUGGAGAUCAGCAUACUGUUACCCCCAAAAUAGAAGAAUACAAGCCAACUACAGUGAUGCAUAUCUGCGCUCUGCAACUCCUUAAACUUGGUCUGUUAUGCUCCGUCAAGUCACCAAAAGAUCGCCCAAGCAUGCAUGAAAUUUAUGGCGAAGUAAUGGCUGUAAAAGAAGCAUUUUUCUCUAUGAACAGUUGA